rnacentral:rRNA from 1 species
CCUACGGGAGGCAGCAGUGGGGAAUAUUGCACAAUGGGGGGAACCCUGAUGCAGCGACGCCGCGUGAGUGAAGAAGUAUCUCGGUAUGUAAAGCCCUAUCAGCAGGGAAGAAAAUGACGGUACCUGACUAAGAAGCCCCGGCUAACUACGUGCCAGCAGCCGCGGUAAGACGUAGGGGGCAAGCGGUAUACGGAUUUACUGGGUGGAAAGGGAGCGUAGACGGGGCUGCAAGUCCGUAGUGAAAGCCCAUGGCUUAACCAUGGUACUGCGGUUGAAACUGGGGAGCUUGAGUGCGGGAGGGGCAGGCGGAAUGCGUAGUGUAGCGGUGAAAUGCGUAGAUAUUAGGAGGAACACCGGUGGCGAAGGCGGCCUGCUGGACCGCAACUGACGUUGAGGCUCGAAAGCGUGGGGAGCAAACAGGAUUAGAUACCCUGGUAGUC